CCUGUUUCUGACCCUUAAAUAUGCUCUUUGAUCGCGUUAGCGUUUGAAGAACAGCUGGCUUAUUGUCCAUACCGACUGAACCUUUGGGCUAUGGGUGAAUAUAAAAGCCACACUCCCCCUUAACAUUCUACUUGUCCGGACAGUUUUCAGAGUUCUCAGAAGGUCAGAAUGAAAAUGUGCUUGUUCGGAGGAGCCCAAUUCCCGAGGCCUUGUCCUUCCUGGUCAGGUACGUGUAUAGCUACCAAGGAGACACAAGUUCCUUCCAUUGGCUUUACUAUGAUAAAACAGCGUUACAUUGCGAGUCCGUAAUUCCGUAUCUGUUUCCACCUCCUACCUUUCCGCAGGGCAGCUCAGAAACUGAGCCUGACUGUAAGGAGGAAGGGCCAAACGACCGCCCACUCUUCUGCGUGUUCUGCCCCAGUUCCCACCUGCUACCGGGACAUCAUCCAGAGGACUCCCCCCCGAGUCCCCGCUUGCCUCAUUAAAGCUGCCAACGGAGUCACCGGCGGCAGCGUCGGCAAGGUCAGUGUGGUGCUUCGGGUGCUCCCCUGUCCUCCCGUACCUUGUUCUCAGCCCCCGUCACCCAUUCUUAGAGUGGACCCGACCAAGAGAAGGGUCAGCAUUAUGGAUCCUACUGCCAUCGAUAGUCCACGGCAGACCGACACUGGGCCAGGCAGGGGUCUGUGGAAGACAUAUGGCUUUGACACAGCCUUCCCCCCAGAGUCAACCCAGGUCUGUGGUAACAGUACAGUACAGUUAGUUAUCUUUGCCUAAUGAUCUGAAAACCAUUGGGAUUGC
rnacentral:lncRNA from 1 species